rnacentral:rRNA from 1 species
GACGUAGGGCGCGAGCGUUGUCCGGAUUUAUUGGGCGUAAAGCGCUCGUAGGCGGCUUGUCGCGUCGGCUGUGAAAUCCCGUGGCUCAACUGCGGGUCUGCAGCCGAUACGGGCAGGCUAGAGUUCGGUAGGGGAGACUGGAAUUCCUGGUGUAGCGGUGAAAUGCGCAGAUAUCAGGAGGAACACCGGUGGCGAAGGCGGGUCUCUGGGCCGAUACUGACGCUGAGGGGCGAAAGCGUGGGGAGCGAACAGG